rnacentral:lncRNA from 1 species
GCAAAUAGACAUGCUCCAUAUGUUUACUGAAAAAAUGGAUCCCAAACGAUUCUUCUCCUCUGCAGGUUAUUGUUCUAUACUCUACAUAAAGAGAAUCCACUUUGACAAGGAUAUGGGAGAGAGUGAGAAGAGGACAGCCUAGAACAUGACCAUGCAAAGAUGUUUGUCCCCAAAGUAGGAGUCUCAUUUUGGAAGAAUAACAAAUACAAAAUGCUCUUGUACAGCCGUGAUUGCCAUGAAAAGGUUUUGGUGACUUCUCCUGCCUCUUCCUGUACAGGUUCAUGCUGUUGCUGGUCCCGUCCACAGCUGAACUCACAAAGCUGUGUGCACUCAUCUCUGAGUACCGUGUGUAGCCGCUCCUCCCAUCCCGCAGUGGUACCGCUGUAGGACAGAUGACUGCGGCUCCAUCCGAAAGACGUGCGUGCAGACGGGUCCCUCCCCGGAGCCGGUGGGAAGGGACGUGGGAUUCACACAAAGGCCGAUUUAGCCAAAAGGUGGCACUGCGGCUGCACAGAUUCGAGGCGAUCGGCGGUCCCGCAGACGCUGAUGAGCCCUUCGGUCCGUGUAUUCGAACUCCGCGUUUUGUACCUUGAGAUCGGUGAGCCUUGAAAACCGACUUAAUACCGCCCGAACACGAGAAUAACAGCAGCAACCACUUUAGUAACUGUACUGUGAAGGUAAUAAAUACUUUAUCCUUUCUUUAGUGAACCCGAAU